rnacentral:sRNA from 1 species
UUUUUUUCAAAUUUUUUAUGGUUUUUUUCUAUGCCUUAGAUUGAUGCAAAAUUUGAAAUAAGAAAAGAGAAGACAAUGUUAAACAUGUCUUGAACCCUCCCCCAAACUUAAAUUACACAGUCCCUUGUGUAAUAAAAAUCUGAGGAAAAAUUCAAGACCAAAACACAAAACACACAAAGAAAAAUAAAAAGCCAAUGGUAUGUACAAUGGUUGCGGUGGUGUUACCUCAGUGAUCAGGUGAAGUAGAUGGAGACAUAAUCGUCCAUACUCUCUUGAGUAUAGGCAGGGGCUGAAGUUGAGGCGGGAGGGUUUUGCUCGUUUUGUCCGGUCGAGCGUGUGGAAGCUCGUCUCUGCCUACUCCUUGGCUCUCUCAACUCGGAGAUCACUUCCCGAGGCUCAAAAGAUGUAGCUCAGAGUUGAUCGAUCCUUUCAGCUCUCCAUGCAGUUGAGCUCGUUGAACCGCUUCUUCUUACUUCGGGAGUGGGAGACGUUGGCCUUGGCUUGCUCUGGAAGUCCUUGAGUUGAGCAGCCAUACUCUUCAGCGACUUCUUCAUUGUUCUCAUCUUCUUCUUGAAACCCUUCAUUGUUUUGCUGUGAAGGUUCCUAAGCUCUUCAAGCACACCGAGCUUCUUGUGAACUACAGCUAUCUCAUCUCCUCCUUGGUCAGCACCUUCUUUAUAAUGAGCUUGCUCUUGUUCGCUGGUCCCAUGCUCCGAUUGAUCAAUAUGUUGCUCAAACUCGAUUUGCUGCUUAUAAUCAGCUUGAGUAAAGUACUCAUGUUGCUCAUAGUCAGUUGGACUAUAUUCUAGUUCAUCUUCUCGAGCUCCUCCAAUGUCGAUGUUCAAGGUAGAGGGAGAUGGCAUGAAAUUGAUUUUGCGUCUUGUCUUCACCGAAGUCUGGUUCUCGCAUGUUAGGGGUAACAGAGAAGGUCCAAGCUAUGGAUGGUUGAACUUGAAGAGAUAGCGAUCCGCCGGAGUUGUUUUCUCAAGAAAAUCCUUCCCCUUGAGAUAGUCGAGGUCAAUGAACUUAGGCAACACGUCAAGGGUUCUGAAUUCCAUCCCCACAGCUCCCAGUAUUGGCAUUAAGAGACCACCAACAUAAAGACUUCCGCGAAUUCCCGAGCGAUGGAUGGUUGUAGCAUACUCUUUGUAGCAAAAUAGGUGAUCCAAGAGAACAACACUCAGCGAAGUGUCUGCUCUAUCACCCGCCAUCUUCCUCCCAUCUUUUGUCUCUCUCAAAAUGAAGACCAAAGAUUGGUCUAUCAUGCAUAGCUCCUCUUCACCAAUAAAUCCGGUGGUCUUCUUUGGAAAGAAGGUAUUGGCGAUGCAUUGGUGGAGAUAUCUAAUCACGGGAUUUCGGAUUGAAGAACUCUUGCUCUUGGUUGGCGAGAAGGGCUUCGGACCAGCGAUUGUUUUCCAAAGAGAUUUCGACUCUUCUUGAUCAUAGUCUUAGCGGAUUCCUUCUCCACUUGGAAACCUGAAAAUGGUAUCAAGAUGGCGAAUAUGAAGUGUAUACUCGACAUCCCUAACCUUGAAAGUUAUGUAACCAGGACCUCCUCUCUCUUCUUUCUCUGAAUCGUCAACAUAGAAAUCAACCUUGAGGGUUGCAAGGAGUUGGCAGCUCUCCUCUUUAUAUCCCCCACAUUGGCAGCUCGUGAAUGUUGCAAGAUUGGCAAAUUCCAUCAAGUAUUCCACAUCACCACAAAUACCAAGCUCUUGCAUCGUUUCCUUAUGAGGGUAUCUAGUUUCCUCAAACUUCAACUUCUUCAAGUAUUGAUAGUACUCGCUCGGGGUUGGCUCUCUCUUCCUCCUUGGCCGGUUUCUUCUCCCAACAGGGGCUGGUGUAUCAUCCCCGAUGAUCUCAACCUCUUCCUCAGUAACCACUUUUUCAAAGGUUGCCUCUUCAUGGUGUUCUUCUUCAGCCUCAACGACCCUCUUUCCCCGAGCUACUUCUUCUUUUUGCCUGGCUGAACGGCUUGAGCUUCCACCUUGAAUCAAGCUUGAUCUUUGAGUACGGCGAGCUUGGCGAGUUUGGCGUUCAGUCAUGCCACUCAUGUCAAACGCCUCAACCUCUUCGUUAUCAACGAACGAUCUUCUAGCUCGAGAUGAACUCUUUCUUCUUGAAUCCAUAGAGAUUGGUGGUAAGGUUCAACAGGGCAAACAAGAACAACUCUCGAAGCGGUACCAAAGUGGAAGGGAAUUGGUUUCUUUA